AAAUGGAACAGGGGCAGAAAAUAGCACACUUUUACUCUACGCAACUGUUGCUUUUUCAUGAUCUUCAGGAAUUUUACUGGGAUAAUUAUCCAAAUAAAUUGCAAGCAUUCUAUCCAAAUGAAACUUACAACCAAGUUGAAAAGACAAGAGCCAUAAAAUAAAAUAAUAGCAAAUUAAUAUAAAACCUGGAUAAAGAAUGUAAUAACUAGAUGACCAAUUUGAGAGUGCUUAUUGGGACUUAUGAAGAAAAAGAAAUUGAAAAAAGGAGCUCUUUCUGAGAUGAAGAGAAUUCUCAAUGUCAAGAUUUGAACAAGAAGAGAAUGGAAUACACAAUAUGGACAUCCAUAAAAAUUCAUCAGAGAGCAUUUUACUACUGAGCUGCAAAGAUGACAAGAGCACCUCAAAGGCAGCAGCCUCAAGGAGCAGCCAUGGCCCCAGACUUGUCGCACGGAUGCAGAAAACUUAAUGGAGGAGGCUGAGGUCAGAAUGGGAAGAGUUUUUAAAAAAUAAAAAGGGGAGCUAAUAUGUGAGGAACUGAUUGCUGUGCAUUAUUUUCCACUGAACAGACCUUCUUUUAACUUCUAAUCUCAAGCACAUAGCAGCUGUUGUUUUCAUAUUAAAGAUCAGUAAGUGUUUGUUGAAUGAAUGUAUAAAUUCUUCCCCAAUCUCUGUUCCAUGUAAUAAGAACUAAGUUAGCAUUCAAUUAUAAAGAGGACUUAGAAAGUCUGCAGACAUUUUUGAUCAAAAAUCCUUUUAACUGUCUUCUUAUGGUUCCCGGUAACACCUAAGCCCAAAAAACUCAGGUCAUUUCUUGCCUGUACUGUUGCAAUAGCCUCAUAAUAACUAGUCUUCUCCUUUAUCAACCACAGUCGUCUCCGCUACACAAAGAAGAGAGGGUGCUAAUCUAAAGUGUAAAUUAUUUUAAAUCAGCACCCUUCUUGUAAUUUCCCAGUGGUUUUUCCUGUCAUAAGAAUAACAUGCAAAAUUCCUUGCUUGCAAAGCCAGGUAUGACCUUGCCCCGUCUACCUUACUGGCAUCGUCUCUCAUGACUCUUCCCCUUUUUCACUCUCCAUCUUGCCUUUUCCCAACCAUGCCUGCUAGUGAGCCUUAGCCCUUGUGUUUUCUCUGCCAGGGAUGCAUGACUGGCUUCUUUACUUUAUUCUGAUCUCUCUGCUCAAAUGUCAUCUUUUUAGAGAUAGCUUUCCUAAACAUCUUUAAAAGUACCCCAUGAACUGUGAAACACCUUUCCUGCUUUUUCUUCAUAGUACUUAUCACUUCCUGAUAUUAUGUUAGACAACAAGCAAAUAAGUAUAUGCUGUUCCCACUAAAAUAUAAGCUCCAUUUGAACAGGAGCCUUGAUUAUUCCUGAGUAUACCCCUAGUGCCCAGAACCUAGUAGGGCUUUAAUAAAUAUUAGAUUCAUUUGUUGAAUGAAAAAAUGAAUGAAUAAUUGAAUAAAGAUAUCCAGGUAGAGUGUCCGGGCAGCCCAACCUAUGUGAAGCCAGUACAAGAAUGUUUCUGUGACAUAGUGAGCGCAAUUAUUCCUCUAAAUGAUGAACUUGCAUGAGUACACAAGGAUAAAAUUAAGCACGUAGUUUAGAUUUCUGCAAGUCUCUUCCUCAGAUUGAGGAAAAACAAAGAAAUUGAGCUUAUUCUCACCUCAUUCUUACAUGAACUAAAUCCAGAAUAAAGCAUCAUUUAAAUACCAAGCACAUCCCUACCUCAGCCACUCAUGGAAUACUUUAUCUGUAAAGGGACAGAUAGAUAGUAAAUAUUUUUGGCUUUGGGGACCGUACAGUCUGUGUCGCCACUACUCAGCACUUCUGUUGAGGUGUGGAAUCAGCCCUAGACAACACAUAAACAAAUGGGUGUGGCUGUGUUCCAAUAAAAUGUUAUUUAUAAAACUAGGAAAUCAGCAGAUUUAGUCCACAGGCUGUAGUUUGCUGACCCUUGAAUUAGAGAGUCUUCCCCAAAUCCUCUUCCCAAGUUAUUGAAAGAAUGCCCAUAGGACCAUAGCUCCCUCACCUGGUUCUUUCAAGAAAUGAGACAAAUUCAGGGAUGGUUGGAGGGUGGAACGCCUACCUGUGACAUGACUAUUGAGCCUGAUUUCUUUCCUUUUAUCUCUUUAAAGUGAGUCAGGUCUUAACUUUAAACUGUCUCUAAAGUGGCAAUAACUGGGCCAUGUCAAAUACUCCCAAUGACAAAAUUUCUUCUUGGAGAAUGAAUGAGGGUUGCAUACAGUGGUGUGUUGGUAAAUGUUUAGCAACUGGCUCUCUUACUGAUUUCUGUAGUGUAAAUUCUCCCAUCCUGGCCAUCUGAAACUACCAAUAUGAUGUCACUUGAUGUAGAGUUGGGAAAAGACAGUCUCUUGAAUAAGUAUGAGCUGGUUCCAGCCCACUGCUGAACACAUAUUUAAAAGCUACAAUAGCUCUGCUCACUGCCAUUGCAGAGUCUGGAGGAAAGAGUAGCAGGCUUGAUAGGAGCAAUUGGCUGAAUAAUCUUUUGCAAUGCCAAUAAAUAAUGAAAAAGUAUAUAAAUAUAACGCUGUAUAGAAAGCUCUCAAGUUCAGUGUUUGGUUAAAAUACAUACUCAGUAAAUGGUAGCUAUUAUUGUCUUAGUUUAAGUUAUUGCAAGCAUUAAAAUUAAAUGUUUAGCUACAGACUCAAUCCAGUUUUAAUGUCAUUGUGUUAAUAAGGCCUCUUAACAUUGAAGCAACAAAGAUAAAGGAAUUUUUUUGUAGCUAUUCACGAUUCUGCCCAGCUCAAGGUAAAGAUAGCAACAAAAUACUCCAACCAGAAUAAAAGAAGUCUCCACUUGACUGCAGCUCUUCGCAACACUUCACAAGGGUCAAGCUGUGUUAGUUUCCUUCAGUGUUAAACAGAAUGCAUCUUAAGAGAAUAGUUCAAUUAUUGAUUGAAUAGUAGGUUCAAGUUGACUAUAAUCCCAACUAAUACACUCUAAGACCAGGGAUGGGCCGACAGAAGGGUAAAGUUUUCCACUCAAGUCUCGAGGCAAACACUCAGAUAGAAGUAGUAAUAUGGAUGCCUUCUAUUAUUUGGUCACAUACAAUACUGUUCCAGCCCAGUUGUGCAAAACUGGUGAAAUAAAAGGCAAAAAUAUUGACAACAGUUUGGGUAACUGGAUUCCAAAAUGGGCAUCCAUCUAAGAGAAAUUAAUGAAAAAAAAGCAUAUGGACCUUGAAAUACAUUAAUACACAGUUUAGGUUUAAACACUCAGUUUUUAUUAGAAAAGACUAACUUAUCCUGUUUUGAACACUACAAAAGUGCUUUCUGAACCAUUUACUCUCAAACCUCCUCCACCCAUUCCCCUCCAUCUAUAACGCUUUCUGCACAUCUGUAAAAGGUAUGACUUAGUGUUUGGUCUGUGAAAUAAGGUUAAAAAGGAAGCAUUUCUUUUUACAUUCUAGCUAAUGUUGAUAUUUUUCUCAUGCUUCUAUUAGCACAUAAUUCAGAUACAUUAGUUUUGAAGUUUUGAAUCUUCUCUGCUUCUUGAGGGCUCUCUGUUCUAGAUCAACAUGAUCUGUGGAACACCAGCCAAGUCCUGGGCAGAACCCUCCCCGUUGUCCAAAUAUUACUGAAUCAGUUGAGUUUUCUCUGUUGUCAAUGAAUUAUUCCACAUGUUUCUUUGGCUACAUUUUUUUUGGCUUUCUGUUCACAGUAAAUAUAGCCUUUGUUUUUAAAAACUUCUAUUAUGAAAAUUCCAAAUAUAUGCAAAUUAGAGAGAAUAGCAUAAUGAACCUCUAUGUGCUUAUCACACAUAUAGGUUCAACUAAUUAAAUUAUAUCAAUUUAUGGCCAAUCUGGUUUCAUUUAUAACAUCAUUCGCUCAUUCCUAACUCCCUGGAUUAUUUGAUUGACAUGUUUCUAAAGUUCCUUUUAAUCUGUAGGUUCCCCCUCUCAUUUAAUCUUUUGCAACUUAUUCAUUGAUGAAACUGGGUUAUUUGUCCUUUAUUGUUUCUCUCAUUCUGAAAUAUGCUGUAAUGUCAUUAACCAUAUUCUUCUUUCCUGUAUUUUCUGUAAGCUUUGAGCUAGGCAGAAAUAUUUUAAUCAGAUUCCUUUUUUUUUCUUUUAGCAAGAUUUCUUCAUAAAUAAUAUUGUAUGUGUU
ensembl:lncRNA MIR99AHG mir-99a-let-7c cluster host gene